rnacentral:rRNA from 1 species
AGUCGAGCGGAGACAGGUAGCUUGCUACUGAUCUUAACGGCGGACGGGUGGGUGAUGCUUGUGAGUCUGCCUGUUAGUGGGGGGGGGAUUUCAAAGGGAAUGCUAAUACCGCACACGUCCUACCGGAGAAAGCAGGGGAUCUUCCGACCUUGCUCUAGUAAAUGAACCUAACUCGGAUUAACUAGUUGGUGGGGUAAAGGCCUACCCAGGCAACCAUCUGUACCGGGUCUGACAGGAUGAUCCACCACACUGGGACUGAGACACAGCCCAUACUCAUACCGGAGGCAGCAGUGGGGAAUAUUGAACAAUGGGCGCAAGCCUGAUCCAUCCAUGCCGCGUGUGUGAAUAAGGACUUAUGGUUGUAUAUCACUUUAUUCGAGGAGGAAGCUACGUUAUUUAGUACCUAAACAUAGUGGACGUUACUCGCAGAAUAAGAACCGGCUAACUCUGUGCCACCAGCCGCGGUAAUACAGAGGGUGCAACCGUUAUUCGGAUUUACUGCUGCGUAAAGCGCGCGUAGGCGGCUAAUUAUCUCAAAUGUGAUAUCCUCCCAGCUUAUCUUGCUGAAUUGCAUUCUAUACUGGUUAGCUGCUAGUGUGGGAGUAGGAUGGUAGUAUUUCCACGUGUAGCGGUGAAAUGCGUAGUAGAUCUGGAGGAAGUACCACUGGCGAAAGCAGCCAUCCUGGCCUAACACUGCACGACUGCAUGUGCUGACAGCAUGGUGGAGCAGAACACGAUUAGUAUACCCCUGGUGAGUACCCAUGCCCGCUAAACGAUGAUCUACUAUCGUUGGUGGCCGUCUGAGAGCUUUAGUGGCCCAGCUAAACGCGAUUAAGUA